rnacentral:tRNA from 1 species
GGAGCAGUAUCGAAGUGGUCAUAACGAGGCGGACUCGAAAUCCGUUAGCCCUUCGGGGCCCGUGGGUUCGAAUCCCACCUGCUCCGCCA